CGUCAGCUCGUGUCGUGAGAUGUUGGUUAAGUCCGUAACGAGCGCAACCCUUGUCCUUAGUUACCAGCACGUUAUGGUGGGCGACUCUAAGGAGACUGCCGGUGACAAACCGGAGGAAGGUGGGGAUGACGUCAAGUCAUCAUGGCCCUUACGGCCUGGGCUACACACGUGCUACAAUGGUCGGUACAAAGGGUUGCCAAGCCGCGAGGUGGAGCUAAUCCCAUAAACCGAUCGUAGUCCGGAUCGCAGUCUGCAACUCGACUGCGUGAAGUCGGAAUCGCUAGUAAUCGUGAAUCAGCAUGCCGCGGUGAAUACGUUCCCGGGCCUU
rnacentral:rRNA from 1 species